rnacentral:misc_RNA from 1 species
AAAGUCGUAACAAGGUAACCGUAGGUGAACCUGCGGUUGGAUCAUUAAAAAUUAAAUAGCCUUUCAUUGUUUGAUUUGGGAGCAUGUACCGAAUGGGAUUUGCUCGAAUAUCCAAUCAAAGUCAAUGAUACUUGGCGCCACAUCUUGUGCACUGUAACGUCUUUGGUGGUUGGGCGUGAUGUUUCUCUGAAACUCAUGCUUGUCAGCUUGGAUCAUUAAUGAAUCAGGCCGUGGACAAGCCACCGUUUGUGUAUUUAACCUAUUUUUCUUUUUAUUUUCGUCUAACAUCAAUUUGUAUGAAUAUACAAACAACUUUUGGCAACGGAUCUCUUGGUUCUC